UACGUAGGGUGCAAGCGUUGUCCGGAAUUAUUGGGCGUAAAGGGCUCGUAGGCGGUCCAUCACGUCGGGAGUGAAAAGCUGGGGCUUAACCCCAGUCCUGCUUCCGAUACGGGUGGACUAGAGGUAGGCAGGGGAGAACGGAAUUCCUGGUGUAGCGGUGAAAUGCGCAGAUAUCAGGAAGAACACCAAUGGCGAAGGCAGCUCUCUGGGACGGUACUGACACUGAGACGCGAAAGCGUGGGGAGCGAACAGG
rnacentral:rRNA from 1 species